rnacentral:rRNA from 1 species
AUUGAACGCUGGCGGCAGGCCUAACACAUGCAAGUCGAGCGAGCGGCGGACGGGUGAGUAAUGUCUGGGAAACUGCCUGAUGGAGGGGGAUAACUACUGUACACGGUAGCUAAUACCCCAUACCAUCAGAUGUGCCCAGAUGGGUUUAGCUAGUAGGUGGGGUAACGGCUCACCUAGGCGACGAUCCCUAGCUGGUCUGAGAGGAUGACCAGCCACACUGGAACGGAGACACGGUCCAGACGCCUACGGGAGGCAGCAGUGGGGAAUAUUGCACAAUGGGCGCAAGCCUGAUGCAGCCAUGCCGCGUGUGUGAAGAAGGCCUUCGGGUUGUAAAGCACUUUCAGCGGGGAGGAGGUACAGGAAGAAGAAGCAACGGCUAACUCCGUGCCAGCAGCCGCGGUAAUUG